UGAACAUCCGUAUCACCAUGGAGAGUUACCAUGGAUACACCCAGAGAGAGAGAGACCCCUCUGUCUCUCCCUCCCUCACCCGGUUAACCAGCCUGGGAGGCCUGGAGAAACCUCCCUGCCUGGCAGAGGAUGAGGGGUGUGUUGUGUGGUGUUCAGUGUAGUCUGACCCCCUCUCCCUCCCCUCUCUCUCUCUCCCUCUCUCUCCCCCUCCCCCCCGUCCCCCAGCUGGGUUAGGCAGAGCCACCCUGCCAGCACCCCCCCGGUGCCUCUUCCCCCCGGCGCCGAGCACAGCGACCCCUGGAGGAGCAUGACGGUAAUGCCAUACCUGGAGCAGCUGCAUGCCUGCCAAGAGGAGGAGCAGGAGGAAGAAGAGGAGGAGCAGGAGGAGGAAGAGGAGGAGCAGGAGGAGGAAGAGGAGGAGCAGGAGGAAGAGGAGGAGGAGCAGGAAGAAGAGGAAGAGGAGUUAUUCUACACUGAGGACCUUGUCUCUGUGUACCCAGUAUUGUAGUGGAGUGUUUUUAGUGCUGGCUGACGUCACCAGGAGAGAUUGUCAUCGGGGGGCUUUCUCCAUUAAGUGGAGAAAUCGUCACCACCACCCAUAGGUCAUGCUCCUGACCCUUGACCUCUGUCUCCCCAGGACCGGGGUCAGGUCUGGGGCGUGUGUGUGUGAAGGGGGUGGGGCCAGAGUUGAAAGGGGUGGAGCCAGAGCUGAACGGGGCGGAACCAGCGUUACAGCAGCCAACCAGGUUGCGUUCUGAGCGUCUCUCUAGCUCCUCCUCCAGCCACUCCCUCCUCGGAAGCUCCGCCUACUGCCGUCUGCGCAAACUGUCCUGCAAGCAGCAGUGAACAGACACACUGCUGUGCAUGAAUCAUCAGGACCUGAUUCUCCUCCAGCUCUUCACUGAGGAAUAUGAUGAGGAUGCUACCAUGAAGAAGACACCUCCUCUCCUCCUGAAAGACUAGCUUCAUGUAGACUACAACACUGUUUAUCCCUCUGUAUGAAAUACACUGUGAAGUGAAUGGAACUAAAUUAUACUAUCUCAGUAACUACAGUAUGGAACAGAGCUGCAGAUGUAUUAUAUAGAUGUAUUAAUAUAUACAUAUAUCUAUUUUAGAAUAACAGCAUGAUUAAGAGAGGGGUUCAUGUGUGUCUGUCUCUGGACCGGGGUGAGGGUUGGGGCAUACACACACACACACACCACACCACACACAAUCACUCCCUAACACACACAAUAGCCCACGUUAUGUAAAUAAAGGACUCUCUCCUGCAUGUUCCUGUCAGUCGGCUCUUCUGGAACCUUGCAGCUGCUGCCACUGUUUAGACAGAACAAAGUUUCCCUUCCAGCGAAAACGACUACCAUCGGGUCUGAACAGGAAGGAAGGAGGAAAGUUCUAGGGUACUAAAAAGGGAGUACGUUUUAAAUGAGACGCACCGCAAGACAGGCAACGAUUCUUUCAUUUAUUCUCGGAUCAGGAAACAGGCUAAAAAAUAACAUACAUCUGAUUAGUCCUGUGCCUGGGGUGGCCAUAGACACAGCCUGUUCAGAAACAUCUGCAUACUUGAGAUAGGCAGACAUUAGCAUACUAACUAGCAAGGAAUAGUGAAAUAUACUAUAUUUUAUUCAUGGAAAUAAAUCUAAUAAAAUAUCAGAUAUCAUC